rnacentral:rRNA from 1 species
AGCGAACGCUGGCGGCAAGCUUAACACAUGCAAGUCGAACGAUGUAGCAAUACAUAGUGGCGGACGGGUGCAUAACACGUGGGAAUCUGCCUUUAGGUACGGAAUAACUCAGGGAAACUUGAGCUAAUACCGUAUAAAAUCUCCGGAUCAAAGAUUUAUCGCCUAAAGAUGAGCCCGCGUCAGAUUAGCUAGUUGGUGGGGUAACGGCCUACCAAGGUGACGAUCUGUAGCUGGUCUUAGAGGAUGAUCAGCCACACUGGGACUGAGACACGGCCCAGACUCCUACGGGAGGCAGCGGUGGGGAAUAUUGGACAAUGGGGGAAACCCUGAUCCAGCUAUGCCGCGUGAGUGAUGAAGGCCUUAGGGUUGUAAAGCUCUUUUAGAUGGGAAGAUAAUGACGGUACCAUCAGAAAGAGCCCCGGCUAACUUCGUGCCAGCAGCCGCGGUAA